rnacentral:rRNA from 1 species
GACGAACGCUGGCGGCGUGCUUAACACGUGCAAGUCGAACGGAAAGGCCCUGCUUUUGUGGGGUGCUCGAGUGGCGAACGGGUGAGUAACACGUGAGUAACCUGCCCUUGACUUUGGGAUAACUUCAGGAAACUGGGGCUAAUACCGGAUAGGAGCUCCUGCUGCAUGGUGGGGGUUGGAAAGUUUCGGCGGUUGGGGAUGGACUCGCGGCUUAUCAGCUUGUUGGUGGGGUAGUGGCUUACCAAGGCUUUGACGGGUAGCCGGCCUGAGAGGGUGACCGGCCACAUUGGGACUGAGAUACGGCCCAGACUCCUACGGGAGGCAGCAGUGGGGAAUAUUGCACAAUGAGCGGAAGCCUGAUGCAGCAACGCCGCGUGCGGGAUGACGGCCUUCGGGUUGUAAACCGCUUUCGCCUGUGACGAAGCGUGAGUGACGGUAAUGGGUAAAGAAGCACCGGCUAACUACGUG